AAUUUUGGAUAAUGGGGGAAACCCUGAUCCAGCCAUCCCGCGUGUAUUAUGAAGGCCUUCGGGUUGUAAAGUACUUUUGGCAGAGAAGAAAAGGUACCUCCUAAUACGAGGUACUGCUGACGGUAUCUGCAGAAUAAGCACCGGCUAACUACGUGCCGGCGGCCGCGGUAAUACGUAGGGUGCAAGCGUUAAUCGGCAUUACUGGGCGUAAAGAGUGUGUAGGCGGUUCGGAAAGAAAGAUGUGAAAUCCCAGGGCUCAACCUUGGAACUGCAUUUUUAACUGCCGAGCUAGAGUAUGUCAGAGGGGGGUAGAAUUACACGUGUAGCAGUGAAAUGCGUAGAUAUGUGGAGGAAUACCGAUGGCGAAGGCAGCCCCCUGGGAUUAUACUGACGCUCAGACACGAAAGCGUGGGGAGCAAACAG
rnacentral:rRNA from 1 species